rnacentral:lncRNA from 1 species
GUCAAGCACCCUAUGUGUGUGGUACAGAUGUUUUUUGUAAUUUCUAUUCUCCACAUAGGAAAACUAGUACACACAGCUGUCACUGCCCAGAUCCUCGGCUAGUAGGUGAGACUGUCAGAAUCCAAGGCAGGCAGGCUGACUCCAUCACUGAUUCUCCUAACUACAGUGCUCUAGUGUGCCCGCCACGCCACUCUGGAGCUGAACUAGCUCCACAGAGGAUCAAACACCACAGCCCUCUGCCUCUGGAAGCCUCAUUAGGGGCUCCCAGGGAAAUAGUAGCCAUGCUGUUGGGGGGGUCCCCCUGCCCCUCCACUCAAGAUUCCUGGCCGUAUCCCAGUCCCUCAUUCUAGCUGCAUCCCACAUAAACUACUUUGAAGACACUGCCAGAGUGUAUCUAGAGGAGUCCUAGGGAGAAAGCCCAGACAGACCCCCAUUCUCAGUACAGCAAGUGCUACCUCACCAUGACCCCCAAAAAUCCACCUGCUGAUCCCUUCCUGGGACCAACUCUCUUCUUAUGCAGUUCUGAGGCCCCUCAACCUUUCUGAAUAGGCAAAGUCCUUUCAGAAGCCACCUAAAUAGCCACUCCCUUUUUCGUCUCAUCUUCCUGCAUUAACUCCAGGGACUCUGAGAUGGGGGCAGGGGUAGUUUCCAGGAAAAGGUUUCUCUUCCUACAGAAAUUAAAAAACAAACAAACAAAAA